rnacentral:rRNA from 1 species
GCUCAGAUUGAACGCUGGCGGCAGGCCUAACACAUGCAAGUCGAGCGGANNAAAGGAGCUUGCNNNUGGNNNNNGCGGCGGACGGGUGAGUAAUGCCUAGGAAUCUGCCUGGUAGUGGGGGACAACGUUUGGAAAGGAACGCUAAUACCGCAUACGUCCUACGGGAGAAAGCAGGGGACCUUCGGGCCUUGCGCUAUCAGAUGAGCCUAGGUCGGAUUAGCUAGUUGGUGAGGUAAUGGCUCACCAAGGCGACGAUCCGUAACUGGUCUGAGAGGAUGAUCAGUCACACUGGAACUGAGACACGGUCCAGACUCCUACGGGAGGCAGCAGUGGGGAAUAUUGGACAAUGGGCGAAAGCCUGAUCCAGCCAUGCCGCGUGUGUGAAGAAGGUCUUCGGAUUGUAAAGCACUUUAAGUUGGGAGGAAGGGUUGUAGAUUAAUACUCUGNNNNUUUGACGUUACCGACAGAAUAAGCACCGGCUAACUCUGUGCCA